rnacentral:lncRNA from 1 species
GGAUGGAGUGCAGUGGCGUGAUCUCGGCUCACUGCAGCCUCCACCACCCGAGUUCAAGUGAUUCUCCUGCCUCACCCUCCCGAGUAGUUGGGAUUACAGCCAUGCACUACCAUGCCCGGCUAAUUUUUGUAUUUUUAGUAGAGACGGGGUUUCACUAUAUUGGCCAGACUGGUCUCGAACUCCUGACCUCAUGAUCUGCCUGCCUCGGCCUCCCAAAGUGCUGGGAUUACAGGUGAGAGCCACUCGGAUCACCUGAGGUCAAGAGUUCAAGACCAGCCUGGCCAACAUGGUGAAACCCCCAUCUCUACUAAAAGUACAAAAAUUAACUGGGCGUGGUGGCGGGCGCCUGUAAUCCCAGCUACUC